GUGAGUAUCAGGUGAGUAACCUUCCCUUGACUCUGGGAUAAGCCCGGGAAACUGGGUCUAAUACCGGAUACGACCAGUCCUCGCAUGGGGUGCUGGUGGAAAGAUUUAUCGGUCUUGGAUGGACUCGCGGCCUAUCAGCUUGUUGGUGAGGUAAUGGCUCACCAAGGCGAUGACGGGUAGCCGGCCUGAGAGGGUGACCGGCCACACUGGGACUGAGACACGGCCCAGACUCCUACGGGAGGCAGCAGUGGGGAAUAUUGCACAAUGGGCGAAAGCCUGAUGCAGCGACGCCGCGUGCGGGAUGACGGCCUUCGGGUUGUAAACCGCUUUCAGCAGGGAAGAAGCGAAAGUGACGGUACCUGCAGAAGAAGCGCCGGCUAACUACGUGCCAGCAGCCGCGGUAAUACGUAGGGCGCGAGCGUUAUCCGGAAUUAUUGGGCGUAAAGAGCUCGUAGGCGGUUUGUCACGUCUGCUGUGAAAGCCCGAGGCUCAACCUCGGGUGUGCAGUGGGUACGGGCAGACUAGAGUGCAGUAGGGGAGACUGGAAUUCCUGGUGUAGCGGUGAAAUGCGCAGAUAUCAGGAGGAACACCGAUGGCGAAGGCAGGUCUCUGGGCUGUUACUGACGCUGAGGAGCGAAAGCAUGGGGAGCGAACAGGAUUAGAUACCCUGGUAGUCCAUGCCGUAAACGUUGGGCACUAGGUGUGGGGGACAUUCCACGUUUUCCGCGCCGUAGCUAACGCAUUAAGUGCCCCGCCUGGGGAGUACGGCCGCAAGGCUAAAACUCAAAGGAAUUGACGGGGGCCCGCACAAGCGGCGGAGCAUGCGGAUUAAUUCGAUGCAACGCGAAGAACCUUACCAAGGCUUGACAUGGACCGGAUCGCUGC
rnacentral:rRNA from 1 species